ensembl:lncRNA
AGGAAAUAACAGUGCUUGCAAGGUAGCAAAAUAGUAGUGUCUUUUAAUAAAAAAAAUAAUAAAAUGGUUUACAGAGUGUUUUUUUUUUUUUUUGACUCAAGAUCACUUACCAAAAAAUUGUAUUUUCAUUCAUAAAACAUGUACUGGUUUAAAUCAGAAUUCAUCAUGCAUACUGUAUAUGACAUCAACAGCUAUUCGAUUUUGAAUUGAUUUCAAAUCUCAAUCUUAAAAUUCUUCAGCAUAUCAUUUUAGACUUAAGUUCAAAGUUAUAUAUUUAAAAAUCCAGAAUACAUAGCAAACCUAAGGCUGAAAUUAUCGGUCACACUUUAUUUUAAGGUCCAAUUCUCACUGUUAACAAACCAUUAACUAUGAUUUUUGCCUCAAUAAACUCCUAAUUUGCUGCUUAUUAAUAGUUAAUAAGGUAAUUUAUGUUAGUUAAGUUUAGGUGUUGGCUAGGAUUAGGGAUGUAGAAUAUGGUCACGCAGAAUAUGUGCUUUAUAAGUACUAAUAAACAGCCAAUAUGUCUAUAAUAGGUAUGUUAAUAAGCAACCAGUUAAUAGUGAGAAUUAGUCUAAAGUGUCACCAGAUUAUCUAACAACUAUGUUAAAUGCUAGAGCUUUUCAAGCACUGGAAUUGUUUCAAACAACAUCCUAAUAUUUCAUUGUUUUAUGCUUUAUAAGUUAUUAAGUUGAUUGUAAGAAUUUUAACAUAUUGGUGCAAUUUAAGUUAUAUAUUUAUGCAUGUGUAUAAAAUGAUUACAGAAAAUGAGCUGAAAGCCAAAGUCCUAAAGCUGGAAGGAAUCACACGUAGCACAAGGAGUUGACAUCAACAGUACUGAACUGAGAACAGGGAACACUAUUUAUCCACAUGACAAGACGAGGGGAUGACGAGACACACCUGGGAUCAAUAGAAAUAAACGGGGAACACCAGGAGACAAAUUAACACAAUGGAGACAGGAACAGGAAGGACCAAAUAUGGACAUGGAAACACAUUGGGAGCAAAACACACAAAACAUGGAACAGAGUCUGACACCGUGCUGAAGAGGCAGAAGAGAAGAACAGGAAACUCAAAAGAGAGAACGAGCAACUGCAAUAGGAUGUGGAGUUCUUCAGAAAAGAAACAGAGCAGAGAGAGCCUCUUCAGCAAUGAGAUUCACCAAAGCCAACCAACAGCUCUACCAGAGCAUGGAGGACCUGCAGGUGAUCCCCAAAUCACCUUCAGCCUGCCAUAUAAUGCCAUCAUAACGUCUAAAUUAAUACACCUCUAA